rnacentral:lncRNA from 1 species
CUGCGCCUGAUAGCUUCUGCACUCCCGUAGAAACAGCAACAGUAUGCUUUCCUUCCACCUUAGAAUGUUUCGCAGAACCGGAAGGCAAGAUAGUAAUCUUCUUUUGAUUCCACGUGAACAUGUAUGAAUUCUCCUUCCCUUUAUGCAAAGCAUCAACGUCGAAUUGCCAAGGGCGAUCUAGCAAAAUUCCACAGCAAUCCAUAUCCACCACAUCACAAUUAACAGGUUCAGUAUAAGAUUUACCGAUCGAGAUAGGCACGCUGCAGAUUCUGUUGACCUCAAUUGUCGGUCCUUCCUUGAUCCAUCCGACUUUGUAUGGUGAGGGGUGA